AUGUGAAAUUGCUAUUUUAUAUGCUUGGACUUCUGGUGAGAUCUGGGCUCCUUAGCAAGGGUUAUGAUAUCGUUGUUGUCAUAGUACAGUGCAAUGGCAUCUGAUGGCAUCAUACCUAGUUUUGAAAUGAACUUCUUGAACUAAAAGGCUUUCUUAGUAGCUUCAGAGGUGGCGAUGUACUCAACUUUCAUGGUCGAAUCUGCA
rnacentral:lncRNA from 1 species